rnacentral:rRNA from 1 species
UACAGGGGGUGCAAACGUUGCUCGGAAUUAUUGGGCGUAAAGCGCGCGUAGGCGGCCACUUAAGUCGGAUGUGAAAGCCCUUGGCUCAACUGAGGAAGUGCACCCGAAACUGAAUGGCUUGAGUACUAAAGAGGGUCGCGGAAUUCCCGGUGUAGAGGUGAAAUUCGUAGAUAUCGGGAGGAACACCGGUGGCGAAGGCGGCGACCUGGGUAGAUACUGACGCUGAGGAACGAAGGCCAGGGGAGCAAACGGG